rnacentral:rRNA from 1 species
UGGGGGUUCCUGGAAGUUUCGGCUCUAUACCCUUUGUGACAUACCUAUAACUGUUGCUUCGGCGGGUAGGGUCUCCGCGACCCUCCCGGCCUCCCGCCUCCGGGCGGGUCGGCGCCCGCCGGAGGAUAACCAAACUCUGAUUUAACGACGUUUCUUCUGAGUGGUACAAGCAAAUAAUCAAAACUUUUAACAACGGAUCUCUUGGUUCUGGCAUCGAUGAAGAACGCAGCGAAAUGCGAUAAGUAAUGUGAAUUGCAGAAUUCAGUGAAUCAUCGAAUCUUUGAACGCACAUUGCGCCCGCCAGCAUUCUGGCGGGCAUGCCUGUUCGAGCGUCAUUUCAACCCUCAAGCUCUGCUUGGUGUUGGGGCCCUACAGCUGAUGUAGGCCCUCAAAGGUAGUGGCGGACCCUCCCGGAGCCUCCUUUGCGUAGUAACUUUACGUCUCGCACUGGGAUCCGGAGGGACUCUUGCCGUAAAACCCCCCAAUUUUCCAAAGGUUGACCUCGGAUCAGGUAGGAAUACCCGCUGAACUUAAGCAUAUCAAUAAGCGGAGGA